AUUGAACGCUGGCGGCAUGCCUUACACAUGCAAGUCGAACGGUAACGCGGGGGCGAACCCUGCGACGAGUGGCGAACGGGUGAGUAAUACAUCGGAACGUACCCAGUAGUGGGGGAGUANCUCGGCGAAAGCCGGAUUAAUACCGCAUACGACCUAUGGGUGAAAGCGGGGGAGUCNCAAGACCUCGCGCUAUUGGAGCGGCCGAUGUCGGAUUAGCUAGUUGGUGAGGUAAAGG
rnacentral:rRNA from 1 species